rnacentral:ncRNA from 1 species
ACGAGGAAGGGCGUAGCAAGCGACGAAAUGCUUUAGGGAGUAGAAAAUAAGCAUAGAUCCAGAGAUUCCCAAAUAGGUCAACCUUUUGAACUACCUGCUGAAUCCAUGAGCAAGCAAGAGACGACCUGGCAAACUGAAACAUCUUAGUAGCCAGAGGAAAAUAAAGGAUAAUG